ACUGCAGCCGCCGGCGGCCACCGCUGCGUACGGAGACCGUUGCGGGCAGCCGGCGCACACGUGCGCGCUGCCGGUCGCCGCGUUGGCCGCUACUCUGCGCUCUCUCGGGGACGGCCCACCGAAGGGGGACAUCUCGAAGAGAAGCAGCAAGACCUGGGGAUCCGGUGGUUCAUUUUGGUCGUCGCCUGUGAGGCCAGCAUGCAAGAGUAAGAGGAAGCUAGGAGCAGUCUCAAAAAGAGAUGGAACCAAGGACAGCAAAUGCUGACGAGGAGAAGAGACGGACGAGCGUUUGCUUGCGGUUAAUACCGAAGGGACGGGAUGAAACAAGGAAGCCAGAAUGCAGCAGCCCCUCGAUAUCACCAGGAACUGCUACAGGAGGAGGCGUUCUGGCACGGGUAACUAGGAUUAAUUGCCACGGCUGAAGUUGAAGAGACCAAGAAACGUAAGCCCCGAAGGGGCACAUCUUGAAGAGAGGGGGCUAGACCUAGCGAUCCAGUUGUUCGUUUUGGUCGUCGCCUGUGAGGCCAGCAUGCAAGAGUAAGAGGAAGCUAGGAGCAGUCUCAAAAAGAGAUGGAACCAAGGACAGCAAAUGCUGACGAGGAGAAGAGACGGACGAGCGUUUGCUUGCGGUUAAUACCGAAGGGACGGGAUGAAACAAGGAAGCCAGAAUGCAGCGGCCCCUCGAUAUCACCAGGAACUGCUACAGGAGGAGGCGUUCUGGCACGGGUAACUAGGGUAAGUAUGGCUAAUGACCGUUAGCAGUUAUUUUGGCCUCCCCGAGGCAGCGCUGAGGACUAAGUAACCUGAGGGGCUCUGGCCUGGGUUGGAGCAGAAGUGCAGGCAGGCGGGAUCAGGCAUUUUCCUCUCAGCUCUCCGAGCUGAAUCCUAGCCCUGAAGGAAAAAGCACUGGGGGGAGGCUACUCGGACACCUGCCACGUCGAGGGCAGGGGCAGGAGCUGACCCUUCCCCGACGGACGGACGGACAGACGCUGGUGCGGCGGUGACUCUUUGGAUAUCGUAGGUAAGGGGAGGCACGCUGGUGCCGAGCUCCAGGGCGGUUUGCCUGAACACGAUGCCUGAGGCAGGAGGUUAUGCAUUGUGUCCGGGGCUGGGAGCUGGUCCCCGAGUCCCAUGUACUUGGGAGUGCCUGCGCUUGCCAGGGAGCCCGGUGCUGUUCCCAGAGCUGCGGGGAAUUUCCCUUGCGUUGCCUGGACCCUCGGGGCUCUUGGGGGUGUUUCCCCUCAUCGCGAGGGCUGCCAGAGCCCCUCCAGGGCUGCGUGAGGUCCCCGAACCGCUCCCGGAUUUGCUUUUGGCACUCCGCAGUGUCGCUCGUGUGCCUGGGGCAGCCUGCAGGCGCCAUCCUGUCAGCCGCGUUGAGCCCUGCGGCGUGCCUGGUGACCCCUCUGGUGUGCGCCAAGGCCCUUCCUCUGUAUUUUGGUCUGCCCCAGAGCCCUGCACUUGCCCUCUGAUGCCCUCGGGACCCCUCAGUUCACAUUCUGGGUUGCCCCCGAGCCCUCUGCGUGCCUUUCGGUGCGCCCCGUGGCCCCGUGUGUGUUUUGCGGCACGCCGCAGAGGUCUCUGUUUAGCUUUUUCUCCUGUCCUGGAGUUUUCUGGGUGCUUCUGGGUGUGCCCCAGGGCCCUCCUUUUGGUGCCCCCCGAGUCACUCUGUUUGCUCUAUCGUUGUUCUUUUUUUUUUUUUUUUUCUUUUUUUCUUGACUUGUGUUGCACCCAGAGCUCUCGAUUUGUUCUCUUGUGCUCCGCAUACUCCCCUUUCCGCACUCUACACCCCAGGCAGGGCUCUCCCUUCAGCUCUCAGCAAGCUGCUGUCAGGAGAGUGGGGGUGCCUCUGCUGCCCUGGCAGCCCCAGCUGUCCCUGAAGGGGCUGAUGGCCAGGCCCCCUGCCCAGUUCCUGCAGGCCCACAGCUGCGGGCCCUGGGGCUGGGAUGAAUGCCAGGGGGAGCUGGGUGGCAGGACAGGCCCCAGGUGGGGCUGAUGGCAAGGGCAGGCCCACAUUUGGGGGCUGGGGCCGCAGUUGGGGGGAGCUGGCGCUGGGGCAGGAGCUGGGCAGCGGAGCUGCCACGGAGCACGGCCCUUCGGGCCCAGCCCGGCGGCCGCCCCGCGGAGGAGGUGAGCGGGGCCGGGGGAGGCGCGCUGCAGGCUGCGGGUCCCGCAUGUGCCGG